GCGGGUGUAGUUCAAUGGUAGAACAUCAGCUUCCCAAGCUGAGAACGCAGGUUCGAUUCCCGUCACCCGCUCCA
rnacentral:tRNA from 1 species